rnacentral:rRNA from 1 species
GACGUAGGGCGCGAGCGUUGUCCGGAUUUAUUGGGCGUAAAGAGCCCGUAGGCGGCUUGUUGCGUCGACUGUGAAAACCCGCAGCUUAACUGCGGGCCUGCAGUUGAUACGGGCAGGCUAGAGUUCGGUAGGGGAGACUGGAAUUCCUGGUGUAGCGGUGAAAUGCGCAGAUAUCAGGAGGAACACCGGUGGCGAAGGCAGCUCGCUGGGACGUUACUGACACUGAGGCGCGAAAGCGUGGGGAGCGAACAGG